rnacentral:rRNA from 1 species
AAUGGACGCAAGUCUGAUGCAGCAACGCCGCGUGGAGAUGAAGGCCCUUGGGUCGUAAACUCCUUUUUUCAGGGAAGAGUGAGGACGGUACCUGAAGAAUAAGUCACGGCUAACUACGUGCCAGCAGCCGCGGUAAUACGUAGGUGGCAAGCGUUAUCCGGAAUUACUGGGCGUAAAGCGCACGCAGGCGGUCUUGUAAGUUUGACGUGAAAGCUACCCGGCUUAACUGGGAGAGGUCGUUGAAUACUGCGAGACUUGAGUUUAGGAGAGGGGUGUAGAAUUCCCGGUGUAGUGGUGGAAUGCGUAGAUAUCGGGGGGAAUACCAGUGGCGAAAGCGGCACCCUAGCCUUUGACUGACGCUCAUGUGCGAAAGCGUGGGGAGCGAACGGGAUUAGAUACCCCGGUAGUCCACGCCGUAAACGAUGAACACUAGGUGUAGGUGAUGUGAAAGUUAUCUGUGCCGAAGCCAACGCGUUAAGUGUUCCGCCUGGGGAGUACGGCCGCAAGGCUA